rnacentral:tRNA from 1 species
GCGGUACUCGCCCAACCGGUAGGGCACCUGCCUUCCAAGCAGGCGUAGACGGGGUUCGAGUCCCCGGUACCGCU